UAUUCUGGUGUCCUAGGCGUAGAGGAACCACACCAAUCCAUCCCGAAUUUGGUGGUUAAACUCUACUGCGGUGACGAUACUGUAGGGGAGGUCCUGCGGCAAAAUAGCUCGAUGCCAGAAUG
rnacentral:rRNA from 5 species